AGAAAAGAAAGCCAAAUUGAUGCCAAUGAUUCUAGUCAAAUCAAUGGUCACUCAAUCAGUGAGGAAAAGCAGAAUAUGCAGUUCUCAUCUGAAUGCAAGGGUGGAUUCUUCGCAGAUCAGUUUGAAAAUCUUGCAAAUUUCAGGUCACAUUAUGAGGGCACGGGGCCAGAGAUUUGGGAACAGACAGGUGGCAAUUUGGAUGCUUUUAUUGCUGCUGCAGGUACAGGUGGCACUGUUGCCGGUGUUUCCCAGUAUUUGAAGGACAAAAACUCAAAUAUCAAGUGCUUCCUUAUUGAUCCUCCUGGCUCUGGUUUAUAUAACAAAGUAACAA
rnacentral:misc_RNA from 1 species